UGAAAUGAACACUUACACGAAGUACGCAAUUACCAGUGUUAACUUCCGACACAAUUCUAAUUCCGUAAAGUGUUUAACGUUUCCUAUUAAGCUUCCUAUUACGUUUGCUAUUAAAGAAACGCACAACUUUGAUUCCAAAGGCUUUCGUAAUUUCUAUAGUGUUACCUAGAAUGUAAUUGAAAGCGCAUUAAUUCUCGUACAUUAUUCAAUAUUACCUCACGACGACUUUUAGCAGAGAAAUAUCUCUCUCAUUAUGUCGCUGCUAGGCGGAUGUGUCAAAGAAGCUUUUAUGCUCGUCUGCAAUCAUCGUAACGAAAAUGGCUCGACAAUACGUUUAGCUAACGAACUGAAACCGCUUUUACAAAACGAUUACGUAAUGACUUAAACGUGUCAUUAUAUCAUAAUAGUAUCGUAGUAUAAUAGCUGGAGAGGAACGAUACCAGAUCUUAUAAUAGAUCUUUGUGUCCAUUGAUCGAUUUGUUUGUAACUAUUGAACGUGGAAAGGGGGAAAGACAAAUACGUCAAAUAGAUUACAAUUAAUAAUUAAAAAGACAGUUAAACGAUCGUACACUCUGUUGUUCUUGAUGAAUAAUUAAUACAAUGGACUAUGUCAAAACUAAUCGAAUCAACCGGUGAUCGUUCAAUGUUCGUCGUCAGUAAUCGUUCAACUAAUUGGUAGUUGAAACUAAUUGGUAGAUGAAACUAAUUGGUUUUAGCAUACGUAAAAAUAUAGAUAUAUGUAUACAUUGUACAUGUACAUAGACAAGUAGAAAUAAUCUGCUCUAAAUCUACAAAUCCAGAACAAAAUUACUAGCCAAUACACGGAUUUAAAUGGCGACAUUUUAAUGCAAAAUAGAAAAUGCGAGUAAAAGUGUAUGCCGAUAUAAUAAAAUGGUAUCAUUGGAAUAAAAA